rnacentral:rRNA from 1 species
GACGAACGCUGGCGGCGUGCUUAACACAUGCAAGUCGAACGGAAAGGCCCUGCUUGCAGGGUACUCGAGUGGCGAACGGGUGAGUAACACGUGGGUGAUCUGCCCUGCACUUCGGGAUAAGCCUGGGAAACUGGGUCUAAUACCGGAUAGGAGCCAUUUUUAGUGUGAUGGUUGGAAAGUUUUUUUCGGUGUAGGAUGAGCUCGCGGCCUAUCAGCUUGUUGGUGGGGUAAUGGCCUACCAAGGCGGCGACGGGUAGCCGGCCUGAGAGGGUGGACGGCCACAUUGGGACUGAGAUACGGCCCAGACUCCUACGGGAGGCAGCAGUGGGGAAUAUUGCACAAUGGGCGCAAGCCUGAUGCGGCGACGCCGCGUGGGGGAUGACGGCCUUCGGGUUGUAAACUCCUUUCGCUAGGGACGAAGCUUUUUGUGACGGUACCUAGAUAAGAAGCACCGGCUAACUACGUG